GACAGAGGUGCCAAGCGUUAGGCGGAAUCACUGGGCUUAAAGCGUGUGUAGGCGGAUCGUUAAGUACCUUGUGAAAUCCCACGGCUCACCCGUGGAACUGCUCGGUAUACUGGCGGUCUUGAGCCACUUAGGGGCUGUCGGAACAGACGGUGGAGCGGUGAAAUGCGUAGAUAUCGAGAGGAACACCUGCGGCGAAGGCGGGUUGCUGGGCUGAUACUGACGCUGAGGCGCGAAAGCCAGGGGAGCGAACGGG
rnacentral:rRNA from 1 species